rnacentral:rRNA from 1 species
AGUCUGUUAGUAUAGUUGAAGGAUUUGGAAAAUUCCGCUAAAGAGGGUGAAAGCCCCGUAGACGAAAUGCUGACAACACCUAGGAGGAUCCUGAGUACGGCGGAACACGAGAAAUUCCGUCGGAAUCUGCGGGGACCAUCCCGCAAGGCUAAAUACUCCCUAGUGACCGAUAGUGAACCAGUACCGUGAGGGAAAGGUGAAAAGCACCCCGGAAGGGGAGUGAAAUAGAUCCUGAAACCGUGUGCCUACAACAAG